rnacentral:rRNA from 1 species
UUUUUUAAAAUUUUAUAUUGGCUCAGGAUGAACGCUGGCGGCGUGCCUAAUACAUGCAAGUCGAGCGAACGGACGAGAAGCUUGCUUCUCUGAUGUUAGCGGCGGACGGGUGAGUAACACGUGGAUAACCUACCUAUAAGACUGGGAUAACUUCGGGAAACCGGAGCUAAUACCGGAUAAUAUUUUGAACCGCAUGGUUCAAAAGUGAAAGACGGUCUUGCUGUCACUUAUAGAUGGAUCCGCGCUGCAUUAGCUAGUUGGUAAGGUAACGGCUUACCAAGGCAACGAUGCAUAGCCGACCUGAGAGGGUGAUCGGCCACACUGGAACUGAGACACGGUCCAGACUCCUACGGGAGGCAGCAGUAGGGAAUCUUCCGCAAUGGGCGAAAGCCUGACGGAGCAACGCCGCGUGAGUGAUGAAGGUCUUCGGAUCGUAAAACUCUGUUAUUAGGGAAGAACAUAUGUGUAAGUAACUGUGCACAUCUUGACGGUACCUAAUCAGAAAGCCACGGCUAACUACGUGCCAGCAGCCGCGGUAAUACGUAGGUGGCAAGCGUUAUCCGGAAUUAUUGGGCGUAAAGCGCGCGUAGGCGGUUUUUUAAGUCUGAUGUGAAAGCCCACGGCUCAACCGUGGAGGGUCAUUGGAAACUGGAAAACUUGAGUGCAGAAGAGGAAAGUGGAAUUCCAUGUGUAGCGGUGAAAUGCGCAGAGAUAUGGAGGAACACCAGUGGCGAAGGCGACUUUCUGGUCUGUAACUGACGCUGAUGUGCGAAAGCGUGGGGAUCAAACAGGAUUAGAUACCCUGGUAGUCCACGCCGUAAACGAUGAGUGCUAAGUGUUAGGGGGUUUCCGCCCCUUAGUGCUGCAGCUAACGCAUUAAGCACUCCGCCUGGGGAGUACGACCGCAAGGUUGAAACUCAAAGGAAUUGACGGGGACCCGCACAAGCGGUGGAGCAUGUGGUUUAAUUCGAAGCAACGCGAAGAACCUUACCAAAUCUUGACAUCCUUUGACAACUCUAGAGAUAGAGCUUUCCCCUUCGGGGGACAAAGUGACAGGUGGUGCAUGGUUGUCGUCAGCUCGUGUCGUGAGAUGUUGGGUUAAGUCCCGCAACGAGCGCAACCCUUAAGCUUAGUUGCCAUCAUUAAGUUGGGCACUCUAAGUUGACUGCCGGUGACAAACCGGAGGAAGGUGGGGAUGACGUCAAAUCAUCAUGCCCCUUAUGAUUUGGGCUACACACGUGCUACAAUGGACAAUACAAAGGGCAGCGAAACCGCGAGGUCAAGCAAAUCCCAUAAAGUUGUUCUCAGUUCGGAUUGUAGUCUGCAACUCGACUACAUGAAGCUGGAAUCGCUAGUAAUCGUAGAUCAGCAUGCUACGGUGAAUACGUUCCCGGGUCUUGUACACACCGCCCGUCACACCACGAGAGUUUGUAACACCCGAAGCCGGUGGAGUAACCUUUUAGGAGCUAGCCGUCGAAGGUGGGACAAAUGAUUGGGGUGAAGUCGUAACAAGGGUAACCGAA